rnacentral:snoRNA from 1 species
AACCCAUAGUGAGGGUACCUUCUUAAUAAAUCCUGGUACCUCUCCCAUGCAUCAUAUAGAGUCUCUAAAUUGAUCUGCACGAAGGAAGAGAUAUCAUUCCUCAACUU